GUGGGAAGGACUAGCCACUUGAGAGCAAGGUACUGGGAAUGGAGUAGUGCUAUGGAAAGGCAAAGGGAGCUGGUGUGCUCCAGCCUGGUAAACCCCUAGGCUACAGGCCUUGGUGAAGGCCUACAAAAGGCAUCACUCAUUGCGGUAAGAGAAUUGUACUUCCAUGAAGAAUCCAUGUUGGGACAUUUCCACCAGUGUCCCAGACUAAUAGUGCAGAUACGCACCCUCUAGCAAAAGGUUCCAUUAAAGCAAUGGGGCAUCAUUAAGGAGGCUAGCAGCUACUGCAAAGCUAUUUUAAAGAUCCUGUUUACAGAUAGGUGAUGGAAUGCUCUUUCCCAAGAAGCGGACACUUGAUUCGCAGAAGACCAGUCUUGUCAGACCAAAAAACACAACCCUGAGAAAAUAUUCUUCUAAUGUAGCAUCCAAGCAAAUAAGCUAGUCUUCUUAUAGGAACUUCUUCCCAGCAUGCAUUUGUGGGCAGGAGAUGGACCUUGAAAUUUGGAAAAGACAUACCACUGCAGCUUUAAAGAGGCCAUUUGCAGCUAGUUGUUCCUUGUGUUAGUUCUCACGCUCACAGCCGGUGGGAAGAUGCAAAACCAGAGCAUAAGGCAACAUCUUCUUGUCCUUAGUGGUCACUUGAUGUGUCAGUGAUGAUUAUUUAUUGGAGCUCCUGAAAAGGAAGGAAAGCAAUCCAAUACCCAGAGAGAAGAAAGUGAGCCAGUCCCCAGCCAAAAGAAAAGUCAUGGACGGAUCUGCAGCCAGUGCUAAGCAGCACCAUUCCAUCGACGUACAUCGAUUUACACCAGCUGGCGAUCUGGACCACAGAUUUUUACACCAGAGUUCAUGUAAUUACACACCAUCAGCAAAGCACAGCAUUCAUAACUCAGAUCGCUAAAACAACGUGAAAAUAUUGAAGUUUAAUGAAAGAGAAAAUCAA